UNGCUUAGGCCAACCCACUUAGGAAUCUGCA
rnacentral:piRNA from 1 species